GACGAACGCUGGCGGCGUGCCUAAUACAUGCAAGUCGAACGAAGCUGUUUUAACUGGUGCUUGCACCGACUUAAACAACUGAGUGGCGAACGGGUGAGUAACACGUGGGUAACCUGCCCCAAAGCGGGGGAUAACAUUUGGAAACAGAUGCUAAUACCGCAUAACCACAGAAACCACAUGGUUUCUGUGUCAAAGAUGGUUUCGGCUAUCACUUUGGGAUGGACCCGCGGCGUAUUAGCUAGUUGGUAAGGUAAUGGCUUACCAAGGCAAUGAUACGUAGCCGAACUGGGAGGUUGAUCGGCCACAUUGGGACUGGGACACGGCCCAAACUCCUACGGGAGGCAGCAGUAGGGAAUCUUCCACAAUGGACGAAAGUCUGAUGGAGCAACGCCGCGUGAGUGAAGAAGGUUUUCGGAUCGUAAAACUCUGUUGUCAGAGAAGAACGUGUGCGAGAGUAACUGCUCGUGCAGUGACGGUAUCUGGCCAGAAAGCCACGGCUAACUACGUGCCAGCCGCCGCGGUAA
rnacentral:rRNA from 1 species